UACGUAGGCAGCAAGCGUUGUUCGGAGUUACUGGGCGUAAAGGGUGUGUAGGCGGUUCUUUAAGUUUGGUGUGAAAUCUCCCGGCUCAACUGGGAGGGUGCGCCGAAUACUGAGGGACUAGAGUACGGGAGAGGAAAGUGGAAUUCCUGGUGUAGCGGUGAAAUGCGUAGAUGUCAGGAGGAACACCGGUGGUGUAGACGGCUUUCUGGACCGUAACUGACGCUGAGACACGAAAGCGUGGGUAGCAAGACGG
rnacentral:rRNA from 1 species